UCACUCAGCUGUUAUUAACAAAAUCGUAGUUUUUGACUGUAAUCUUUGUCUUGGUGGGUGGUUAACAAGACAGCUAGAUUUAGUAACGAUAAUGAGCCACCCUCUUUCCAAAUAACAAUUAACAUGGCAUUAGAUUUAUUUCCUUUAAGCCAAACCAAACAACUAACUUUUGCAUUUACUGCCAAAUUGGAUAAAUAAAAUAUGUAGUGAAAAACAUUAUGGUGACUUGAGAUGUUACUUAUAUGUUCUUAAGAGUGAAGUGCUCCUUACUGAAAAGCUCAUUUCAAAUUCUAAAAGUAAAAGGACAAAA